GGCCCACGCUUGGCUGCGGCCGGGUGCGGGCUGAGGCCAUGGGCGACCGCGGCAGCUCCCGGCGCCGGAGGACAGGGUCGCGGCCCUCGAGCCACGGCGGCGGCGGGCCUGCGGCGGCGGAAGAGGAGGUGCGGGACGCCGCUGCGGGCCCCGACGUGGGAGCCGCGGGGGACGCGCCAGCCCCGGCCCCCAACAAGGACGGAGACGCCGGCGUGGGCAGCGGCCACUGGGAGCUGAGGUGCCAUCGCCUGCAGGAUUCUUUGUUCAGCUCUGACAGUGGCUUCAGCAACUACCGUGGCAUCCUGAACUGGUGUGUGGUGAUGCUGAUCUUGAGCAAUGCCCGGUUAUUUCUGGAGAACCUCAUCAAGUAUGGCAUCCUGGUGGACCCCAUCCAGGUGGUUUCUCUGUUCCUGAAGGAUCCCUAUAGCUGGCCCGCCCCAUGCCUGGUUAUUGCGGCCAAUGUCUUUGCUGUGGCUGCAUUCCAGGUUGAGAAGCGCCUGGCGGUGGGUGCCCUGACGGAGCAGGCGGGACUGCUGUUGCACGUGGCCAACCUGGCCACCAUUCUGUGUUUCCCAGCGGCUGUGGUCUUACUGGUUGAGUCUAUCACUCCAGUGGGCUCCCUGCUGGCGCUGAUGGCGCACACCAUCCUCUUCCUCAAGCUCUUCUCCUACCGCGACGUCAACUCGUGGUGCCGCAGGGCCAGGGCCAAGGCUGGUGAGGGGCUGCCAGGGGCUGGGGCUGCCCGCUGGGGGGCUGGGCAGCAGCAGGGCCCCACCAGCCCCCUCCCACUCUGCUGUGCUCGUAGCCUCUGCAGGGAAGAAGGCCAGCAGUGCUGCUGCCCCGCACACCGUGAGCUACCCGGACAAUCUGACCUACCGCGGUGAGGACCUCUGUGGGCCUGAGGUGCGGGGGACAGGCUAGGCCUGUUCUGGCACCAACCCCCCAUUCCCAUUCCAGAUCUCUACUACUUCCUCUUCGCCCCCACCUUGUGCUACGAGCUCAACUUUCCCCGCUCUCCCCGCAUCCGGAAGCGCUUUCUGCUGCGACGGAUCCUUGAG
rnacentral:sRNA from 1 species